UCUACGGGAGGCAGCAGUGAGGAAUAUUGGUCAAUGGACGCAAGUCUGAACCAGCCAAGCCGCGUGAAGGAUGACGGCUCUAUGAGUUGUAAACCGCUUUUGUAAGAGGGUAAACGCAGAUACGCGUAUCUGUCUGCAAGUAUCGUACGAAUAAGGAUCGGCUAACUCCGUGCCAGCAGCCGCGGUAAUACGGAGGAUUCGAGCGUUAUCCGGAUUUAUUGGGUUUAAAGGGUGCGUAGGCGGUCGGAUAAGUUAGCGGUGAAAUCCCGAGGCUCAACUUCGGAAUUGCCUCUGAUACUGUUCGGCUAGAGAGUAGUUGCGGUAGGCGGAAUGUAUGGUGUAGCGGUGAAAUGCAUAGAGAUCAUACAGAACACCGAUUGCGAAGGCAGCUUACCAGGCUACUUCUGACGUUGAGGCACGAAAGCGUGGGGAGCGAACAGGAUUAGAUACCCUGGUAGUC
rnacentral:rRNA from 1 species